rnacentral:rRNA from 1 species
GACCUCGGAUCAGGUAGGGAUACCCGCUGAACUUAAGCAUAUCAAUAAGCGGAGGAAAAGAAACCAACAGGGAUUGCCUUAGUAACGGCGAGUGAAGCGGCAACAGCUCAAAUUUGAAAUCUGGCUCCUCUGGGGUCCGAGUUGUAAUUUGUAGAGGAUGUUUCGGGCGACGUGCCGGUCUAAGUCCCUUGGAACGGGGCGUCAUAGAGGGUGAGAAUCCCGUACGGGACCGGUGACCGAGCCUAUGUGAAAACUCCUUCGACGAGUCGAGUUGUUUGGGAAUGCAGCUCAAAAUGGGUGGUAAAUUUCAUCUAAAGCUAAAUACCGGCCAGAGACCGAUAGCGCACAAGUAGAGUGAUCGAAAGAUGAAAAGCACUUUGGAAAGAGAGUCAAAAAGUACGUGAAAUUGUUGAAAGGGAAGCGCUUGCAACCAGACCUGCCCGCGGGUGAUCAACCGUCCUUCUGGGCGGUGCACUCGCCCGCGAUCAGGCCAGCAUCGGUUCGGGCGGCCGGAUAAAGGCCUUGGGAACGUAGCUCCUCUCGGGGAGUGUUAUAGCCCUUGGUGCAAUGCGGCCAGCCUGGACCGAGGACCGCGCUUCGGCUAGGAUGCUGGCGUAAUGGUUGUAAGCGGCCCGUCUUGAAACACGGACCAAGGAGUCUAACAUCUAUGCGAGUGUUUGGGUGUCAAACCCAUACGCGUAAUGAAAGUGAACGGAGGUGGGAACCCCUCGGGGCGCACCAUCGACCGAUCCAGAUGUCUUCGGAUGGAUUUGAGUACGAGCAUAGCUGUUGGGACCCGAAAGAUGGUGAACUAUGCCUGAAUAGGGUGAAGCCAGAGGAAACUCUGGUGGAGGCUCGCAGCGGUUCUGACGUGCAAAUCGAUCGUCAAAUUUGGGCAUAGGGGCGAAAGACUAAUCGAACCAUCUAGUAGCUGGUUCC